CUCCUUAUCUGGUACAAAUGCAGGCAGUCUAGAGGCUUCAGACAAGUCAAGACUAGCUGUUGAAGACAUGGAGCCUUGGGAUUCCCGCCUGUAUGAUAAUCCAUUGGACUGAAUAGAAUCAUUUGGAUAAUCACCAUUUUCCUUUCUCUUCUGUGACUUUCCCAAACUCUUACUUCUUGACCAUGAGAAAAACGUCCCCCUUUUUUUCUUCUCAGUAUCCUCCUCUCCUGACUCUUCAUUUAAGGAUCUUCCUGACUUUGAUUUACCACUUAGCUAUCACCAAAAGACAAAUUAUUGGCUGGAACACAACUAUAAGCACGUUAUCUAAAACAAACAUUC
rnacentral:lncRNA from 1 species